UGAGCUUGAUCCUGGCUCAGGAUGAACGCUAGCGGCAGCCUUAACACAUGCAAGUCGAGGGGUAUUUAUCUUCGGAUAGAGAGACCGGCGCACGGGUGCGUAACGCGUAUGCAAUCUACCUUUUACAGAGGGAUAGCCCAGAGAAAUUUGGAUUAAUACCUCAUAGUAUUAUGAAAUGGCAUCAUUUUAUAAUUAAAGUCACAACGGUAAAAGAUGAGCAUGCGUCCCAUUAGCUAGUUGGUAAGGUAACGGCUUACCAAGGCUACGAUGGGUAGGGGUCCUGAGAGGGAGAUCCCCCACACUGGUACUGAGACACGGACCAGACUCCUACGGGAGGCAGCAGUGAGGAAUAUUGGACAAUGGGCGCAAGCCUGAUCCAGCCAUGCCGCGUGCAGGAUGACGGUCCUAUGGAUUGUAAACUGCUUUUAUACGAGAAGAAACAACAUUACGUGUAAUGUCUGACGG
rnacentral:rRNA from 1 species